UCUCCCUCUCUCGCGCGCACGCCUCCCACCUCUCUCUCCUCCACUUCUCUCCCUUCGCCGCCCCUCUCCUCCCCCAUCCGCUCGCCCCUCACCUCCUGUCUGUGGCGAGGAGCGGCGGCGGGGCCAGGCGUGGCGGCGGCCCGUGGGUGCGACCCGAGGAGCGGCCCGUGGCGGCGGCGGGGCAAGGCGAGGCGGCGCCCUGCUCCGCGACGAGUAGCGCGGGGGCGGGAUGCGGCGUCGGGGACGGUGCCCCCCCCCCCCCCCCCCCUCUCUCUCGGUGCUUUCUCUCUCGGAUCCGGCAGGCGCGGGAUCCGGCGGCGAGGCAUUAUUGUUGAGUUCAGUUCAGACUUUUUCAAUUUCAUACUUGUGAGAGGCAACAGAAUUGAUGAUUGGCUCCAAUGGGCCUUAGUUUCAGAGUUAUUAGAGGCAACAGCUACUUGAGAGGCCACAGUUCAGACUUCUUUCAGUUUCAAUUGAGCGCCAAGUUCUGAACUUCUUUCAGUUUCAAUUGAGCGCCAAGUUCUGUAAUUGCUGAUUUGCAUGUUUGGACCUGCAGCCUGUUUAAGUUCUGUUUGUAGACUUAUUAACACAGUGUUUAGUUUUCUGUAAAUUUAAGCUCCAUCGCCAGCAGGUUAUGGUGUGUAUCGCCAAGUUAUUUGAUGUGUAUUGCCGUUAAGGAUUUCUUAGCUGGAUAGUUCCCCAAA